rnacentral:rRNA from 1 species
GUAGGGAAUAUUGGACAAUGGGUGCAAGCCUGAUCCAGCCAUGCCGCGUGCAGGAAGAAAGCCUUCUGGGUUGUAAACUGCUUUUGCCAGGGGAUAAAAACACUUUGCGAAGUGGAUUGAAGGUACCUGGUGAAUAAGCCACGGCUAACUACGUGCCAGCAGCCGCGGUAAUACGUAGGUGGCAAGCGUUGUCCGGAUUUAUUGGGUUUAAAGGGUGCGUAGGCGGUUCAUUAAGUCAGUGGUGAAAUACGGCAGCUUAACUGUCGAGGUGCCAAUGAUACUGGUGAACUUGAGUACUGAUGAGGUAGGCGGAAUGGACGGUGUAGCGGUGAAAUGCUUAGAGAUCGUCCAGAACACCGAUAGCGAAGGCAGCUUACUAAGGAGUAACUGACGCUGAGGCACGAAAGUGUGGGGAUCAAACAGGAUUAGAUACCCGAGUAGUCC